AACUGAAGAGUUUGAUCAUGGCUCAGAUUGAACGCUGGCGGCAGGCUUAACACAUGCAAGUCGAGCGG
rnacentral:rRNA from 1 species